UACGUAGGGGGCAAGCGUUGUCCGGAUUUAUUGGGCGUAAAGAGCGUGUAGGCGGCCAUACAGGUCCGUUGUGAAAACUGGAGGCUUAACCUCCAGACGUCGAUGGAAACCGUAUGGCUAGAGUCCGGAAGAGGAGAGUGGAAUUCCUGGUGUAGCGGUGAAAUGCGCAGAUAUCAGGAGGAACACCAGCGGUGUAGACGGCUUUCUGGACCAUUGCUGACGCUGAGACACGAAAGCGUGGGUAGCAAACAGG
rnacentral:rRNA from 1 species